rnacentral:misc_RNA from 1 species
GGAAGUAAAAGUCUAACAAGGUCUCCGUAGGUGAACCUGCGGAGGGAUCAUUACAGAGUUCAUGCCCAACCGGGUAGAUCUCCCACCCUAUGUUAUUAUUACUUUGUUGCUUUGGCGGGCCGUUAGGCUCCGGCCCGACUACCGGCCCCGGCUGGUAAGCGCCCGCCAGAGGACCCAAAACCCUGAAUAUUAGUGUCGUCUGAGUACUAUAUAAUAGUUAAAACUUUCAACAACGGAUCUCUUGGUUCUG